GCUGCUGGCACUAGAUGAAGAAGACAUUAGGGUUGACGCGGUGUGGACAUUUUCACACCGAGUAAUACACUCGCGUCAACACCGGUAUUACUGAGUAUACAGGUGCACAUGUGGAAAUUGUGCCACAAUGCAGUCAGAGCCAGAGAACGUAUGCUGUCAGGAGGUGCCUCAGGUUACAAGACGGCAGGAACAGCUGGAUGAAAGGCCUCCCUGUAUGAUAGACCAUCCAGGUGUAGAACCGGUUUGUCUAAAUAUGUUCUCGCUGCAGAACGCAUUCAACAUUUACAGAGCUGACGACAGUCCUUUGCGACUACGGGGGAUAGUGCAUCGUUACAGGUAUUUAGCCUAUAGAAAUUUUGUGAGCUGGUGCUGGGGCUUCCUUGGGCGGAAGAUACGGGUUGUUAUCCCAUCAUGCGUUGUUCUUCGUAUACACCGGGAGUUUCCUGACGCCCAUGGAAGAUAAGGAGGCUUCAAACCACCCUCCCUUGAUUGAAUCUGGAGGCGUAGCUGGCGAUGACCUCCACCUUGUCUGGAUGCUCAUAUUCUGAAGACAGUUCCGGCGGGAUGUUUAUCUUCAGAAUCUCUGCUCUGUGCGAUGCUGGGUCGACAAAGACCUUCUCCAUGAUCAUGUCCAUCAAAUCAUUCACAUACUCUGUGCAACACACACAAAAGGGAAUCACUAGUUACUAGAUUAUUCAACAACUGUUCAUGCAUUGACAUUUUGCAAUUUGAAUAUUUGGUAUAUUUUCAGGUAUUUAUGUGCAUUUAUUUGUUUAUUUUAUUGUGUUGGAGUUUGUCUCAUGUACUUUGUCUCAUGUUCAAUAUAAAUGUUUAUUUUCUGAGUAAAAUUAAAAGUUGACACUUACGGAAUGUCGCCUCAGUCUUCACUGGUUUGGCUCUGCACUCUCCCUUCCGGGCCAUAGGAAAGGUCAGUCUGAACAUAAGAUCCCCUGAUGACGUAGUGGCUUGUCCUCAAUCAAAAUGCUCAUUGUAAUGCAGUGCAGCCAGGUAGAGUCUGACAUUAAAAAGAAAAAUCAAACAUGGAAAUAAUGCAAGAAAUGGGAAAAUGUUCACAACAAGUAAUCUCAGCCUAAUUUACCUGCACAGCAUUCCUAGAAAUGGAUAGACCACAUUUUUAGGAGCGAACCGCAGGAUCACGGCGUGGAAUGCCUCC